rnacentral:misc_RNA from 1 species
GAUGAAGAACGUAGCGAAAUGCGAUAAGUAGUGUGAAUUGCAGAAUUCAGUGAAUCAUCGAAUCUUUGAACGCACAUUGCGCCCGCCAGUAUUCUGGCGGGCAUGCCUGUUCGAGCGUCAUUUCAACCCUCAAGCACAGCUUGGUGUUGGGACUCGCGUUAAUUCGCGUUCCCCAAAUUGAUUGGCGGUCACGUCGAGCUUCCAUAGCGUAGUAGUAAAACCCUCGUUACUGGUAAUCGUCGCGGCCACGCCGUUAAACCCCAACUUCUGAAUGUUGACCUCGGAUCAGGUAGGAAUACCCGCUGAACUUAAGCAUAUCAAUAAGCGAGGA